AGAGCUUGCUCUCAUGAAARUGGCGCACGGGUGAGUAACACGUGGAUAAUCUGCCUGGCGAUUCGGGAUAACACUUCGAAAGGGGUGCUAAUACCGGAUAAGCCCRCGGUCUCUUMGGAGRGSGCGGGAAAAGGGGGCCUCUGUAUAUGCUCCUGUCGCUAGAUGAGUCCGCGGCCCAUUAGCUAGUUGGUAGGGUAAUGGCCUACCAAGGCUACGAUGGGUAGCUGGUCUGAGAGGAUGAUCAGCYMYWMWGGRRSKGAGACACGGUCCAGACUCCUACGGGRGGCAGCAGUGGGGAAUUUUGCGCAAUGGGCGAAAGCCUGACGCAGCAACGCCGCGUGAGUGAUGAAGGCCUUCGGGUCGUAAAGCUCUGUCAGAGGGGAAGAACCGCCGGGUGGCUAAUACCUGCCUGGUCUGACGG
rnacentral:rRNA from 2 species